UCCAGACUCCUACGGGAGGCAGCAGUGAGGAAUAUUGGUCAAUGGGCGCGAGCCUGAACCAGCCAAGUAGCGUGAAGGAUGACUGCCCUACGGGUUGUAAACUUCUUUUAUAAAGGAAUAAAGUGAGGCACGUGUGCCUUUUUGUAUGUACUUUAUGAAUAAGGAUCGGCUAACUCCGUGCCAGCAGCCGCGGUAAUACGGAGGAUCCGAGCGUUAUCCGGAUUUAUUGGGUUUAAAGGGAGCGUAGAUGGGUUGUUAAGUCAGUUGUGAAAGUUUGCGGCUCAACCGUAAAAUUGCAAUUGAUACUGGCAGUCUUGAGUACAGUUGAGGUAGGCGGAAUUCGUGGUGUAGCGGUGAAAUGCAUAGAUAUUACACAGAACACCGAUUGCGAAGGCAGCUUGCUAGGCCGGAUCUGACACUGAUGCACGAAAGCGUGGGGAUCGAACAGGAUUAGAUACCCUCGUA
rnacentral:rRNA from 1 species